AGACUAGCAGAAUUUUCUUUUGCAAGGAACAAAAAAAAGUCUAUAUUAGCUCA
rnacentral:tRNA from 1 species